rnacentral:lncRNA from 1 species
UUAGGGUGCUAUAAACAGUUUCGUAUAAAAAACUAGGGGUUAUUCCCCAACUAAAAAUAGACAUGGAGGGAAGUCCCUUUUUAUCAACAUAAUUGGUGAAAAAGUAUCAUGUUUUUUGUAUUUGGUUGUAAAGAUAUGUUAAUUAACUUCAAUUAAAACAGGUUGAAUGAUUAAAAUAAUUUAAAAAAUUAGAUUAAAUAUUCAUGUUUUGAGGGGAGACAACACUGUAAACAGUCUGUUUUUUUGGCAGUGAAAAUUCAAAACUUAUUUGCAGCCACUGUAGCUCUUUUCGGAGCAGGCGAACGUACCCUGAAGCAUGAAUUUUUUUGAAAGACCAGGUAAAAAUCUAUGAAAUUCAUAUACAAUUUGAUUUUGAAAAAUGUGCAGGUAUCAUGUCUUCAGGGGUGUGCACAUGACCUGAUUUCAGGUUUUUUAAGCUUAAAUUAGGCAAUGUUUUUCCCAGUUUCUCUGGAUAAAACUUUUUUAUACUAUUAAAAGUACACUUUUUUUUUAUUCCAUUAUAAACUAGAGAACAUUCUGAUUCCAGUGAUAUCUAGUUUUAUACAGGUAUCUUUAUUAAUCAGUCCACCACUAAGGGUCACUUAUACAUGGUCCCUCAAAAUAUGACGUCAUAGAAAAAAACUGUUGAUUGCACCCUUAAGGGACAAAUAUAAAAUAUAGUGAUGUUUUAGCAUAGAAAUGUGUUUGCGAAUGGAGUAAAAUAAUUCUGAAAAAUAUUGUACGGCAUGUAUACAUUAAUUUAAAAGCAUCAGUUUGGUAUAUUUAAUGCAAAUAUUACAGAUUUGUACAUAGCAACCAGAUAUAAGAAAACCAG